GAUGAAGAACGUAGCGAAAUGUGAUAAGUAAUGUGAAUUGCAGAAUUCAGUGAAUCAUCGAAUCUUUGAACGCACAUUGCGCCCCCUGGUAUUCCGGGGGGCAUGCCUGUCCGAGCGUCAUUACAACCCUCAAGCUCAGCUUGGUGUUGGGCCCCGCCGCCCCGGCGGGCCCUAAAGUCAGUGGCGGUGCCGUCCGGCUCCGAGCGUAGUAAUUCUUCUCGCUCUGGAGGUCCGGUCGUGUGCUCGCCAGCAACCCCCAAUUUUUUUCAGGUUGACCUCGGAUCAGGGAGGGAUACCCGCUGAACUUAAGCAUAUCAAUAAGCGGAGGA
rnacentral:misc_RNA from 1 species